GCUUGGCGACUGAUGUAGGGAUCCAUCCUUUGGUUCCUUAUUUCAUAUAUUUUGUUGCUGAAGAGGUGACUCGUAAUUUAAACAACUUCCAACUUCUUUUUGCUUUAAUGCGCCUUGUGAGGAGUCUUCUACAGAAUCCAUACCUGCACAUUGAACCAUAUCUGCACCAACUGAUGCCGUCUGUGAUGACAUGCCUAGUU